rnacentral:rRNA from 1 species
AGCGAACGCUUUCUGCCGGCUUAACACAUGCAAGUCGAACGGGCAUCUUCGGAUGUCAGUGGCAGACGGGUGAGUAACACGUGGGAACGUACCCUUCGGUUCGGAAUAACUCAGGGAAACUUGAGCUAAUACCGGAUACGCCCUUUUGGGGAAAGGUUUACUGCCGAAGGAUCGGCCCGCGUCUGAUUAGCUUGUUGGUGGGGUAACGGCCUACCAAGGCGACGAUCAGUAGCUGGUCUGAGAGGAUGAUCCGCCACACUGGGACUGAGACACGGCCCGGACUCCUACGGGAGGCAGCAGUCGGGAAUAUUGGACAAUGGGCGCAAGCCUGAUCCAGCCAUGCCGCGUGAGUGAUGAAGGCCUUAGGGUUGUAAAGCUCUUUUGUCCGGGACGAUAAUGACGGUACCGGAAGAAUAAGCCCCGGCUAACUUCGUG